AAAAGUUAGCCGCUUACCAACCGAAACAGAGAAACCGCCCGGAAAGAAAAUAUUCGGUCUUUUAAGUCUUAGAGUUUGACCUGUUGAAGAGGAAAGUUUGUAACACGCACAGAGAGAGGUUGAGAAAUCUUUAUAUGUUAUGAACGAUUUGAAGAUCCAUGCUUUGAAUUCGAUUGUUUGAAGGGAAUAUGGAAACCCCUUCAGCAGAGGAGCUUUUGAAGAAGAUCCAAAUACUUGAAGCGGGACAUGCCGAUCUCAAGCAAGAAAUUUCUAUUUUAAAACAAUCCGGUGGCGAUUCCAAGGCCAAUUCAACUCAUCAAAGAUCUCACUCUACUUCCCCUCGACGUCCGCGCUUCCCGGGGAACGCGGCGAAGCUUGCUGCUUGGAAGAAAGAUUCAGCUUCGUUUCGGCACUCCUCGCCGUUGCGAAGAGAGAGCAGAAACAAUGACACUGUCAAUGGCGACAGCGGCACCGGAGGAGAUUUAGGAGUAGGAGGAAGAGGAGGAGCUAUCGAAAGAACCGGGAACGUCGGGCCAGCAGCCGUCAAUUUCACUAACAGCCAGUAUUUGAAUAUAUUUCAGUCUAUGGGGCAAUCUGUUCAUAUAUUUGAUCUUAGUGGCCGUAUAAUUUAUUGGAAUAAAGCUGCCGAAAAACUUUAUGGUUAUUCAGCAGCAGAGGCUUUAGAGCAAGAUGCCAUUCAACUUCUUGUUGAUCAUAGGGAUUUCGCUGUUGCACUUAAUAUUGUUCAUUGUGUUAUGACGGGGGAUAGCUGGACUGGACAAUUUCCUUUCAAGAAUAAAAUGGGGGAGAGGUUUUUGGCUGUUGCAACGUAUACUCCUUUUUAUGAUGAGGAUGAUGACGAUGAUAGUUCAUUAGUUGGAAUCAUUUGUGUAUCCAGUGAUACUCAGCCUUUGCAAGAAAGGAGAGCUGCAGUGUUGGCUGGAAAGCAACCUGAAGGAGAUUCAACCUUUAGCCGGUCUAAAAAUGCUGUCUCAGCUAAACUUGGUCUGGAUCCUCAACAACCUAUGCAAACAGCAAUUGCAUCAGAACUAACAAAUUUGGCGCUUAAGGUGAGCAACAAAAUGAAGUCCAAAUUUAAGAUGGGAGAGUAUUGUGUCGAUCGUGAAGGAGAAAGUGGAGAUGGUCAUUAUUUGGAGCAUGGUUGCUCCAUUGCAGCUCAUUCUGAUCUUAAAGAAGAUGCAGUUUCCAGUGGAGCUUGUACACCUAGGGGAAGUAUUUACCCAUCUGCCUUUAGUGUAUUUUAUCCGUUGGAUGAAAAGUCCCCCAUGAACACCUCUCACAAUUCUGGUGAUGAGAGUGAAGGAAAACCUGCAAUCCAAAAGAUUAUGACCUUAGUGGGUAAAAAGGGGAUAUCGUGGCCUUGGAAAGAGAAUGAUCGAGCAGGAUCAGAGGCAAGAACUACUCGUUUUGUAUGGCCUGGAUUGGCAAAUGAUCAAGAGAAUGAUUUAUUUGUACAGAAAAGCUCAUAUUCUGCUGCAAAAUCUGAAGGCCACGUUAAUGAAAAUAAUACCCCUGUCAAUAAUGAGCCAUCAGGCUCGUGGUCAUCCUCUGUUAAUGUUUACAGCACCAGCAGUGUCAGCAGCUUUGGAAGUACUAGCAGUAGUGCAGUUAAUAGAGCUGAGAUGGAUGUCGAUUGUUUAGAUUACGAAAUCUUGUGGGAGGACUUGACAAUUGGAGAUCAAAUUGGGCAAGGUUCUUGUGGAACAGUGUAUCAUGGUCUGUGGUUUGAAUCCGAGGUUGCAGUCAAGGUAUUCUCGAAGCAGGAAUAUUCAGAUGAUGUAAUAAAUGCCUUCAGAGAGGAGGUAUCUCUUAUGAAAAGACUUCGGCAUCCAAAUGUUCUGCUGUUCAUGGGAGUUGUGGUUUCAUCUCAACGUCUCUGCAUUGUCACAGAGUUCCUUCCACGUGGGAGUUUGUUUCAGUUACUACAAAGGAAUACUACCAAAUUAGGUUGGAGACGGCGUGUCAGUAUGGCUUUGGAUAUUGCACGAGGCAUGAAUUAUCUUCACAAUUGCAAUCCACCUAUCAUUCAUCGUGAUUUGAAGUCUUCAAAUCUUCUAGUGGAUAAGAAUUGGACCGUGAAGGUUGGCGAUUUUGGUUUGUCACGUCUCAAGCACAAAACAUAUCUCACAACAAAGUCUGGGAAAGGAACGCCUCAAUGGAUGGCGCCUGAAGUUCUUCGCAGUGAACCCUCAGAUGAGAAGUCCGACGUUUAUAGUUUUGGCGUCAUAUUAUGGGAGCUAGCUACCGAGAAGAUACCUUGGGAGAAACACAACGCAAUGCAGAAUAUUUGCAGUUGGUUGCAGCGGUGGGGUUCAUGAACCAACGGCUAGAGAUUCCAAAGGAACUAGACCCACGGUGGGCUUCUAUAAUCAAGAUUUGCUGGAACAGUGAUCCAAAGAGCCGGCCAACGUUCCAGGAACUACUUAACAAGCUUAGAGAUCUUCAAAGACAAUAUACUCUCCAACUUCAGCAAGCUCGUAACUCGGCCGAAGAAAAGGAAAUAUGAAUCAGAUGCUUGUGGCAUUGGUUCCAUAUUCUUUCAUUCAAACAAAAGAUGUAGAGAAGCAUGGGCAGUGAGCCACACGAGAAAGAUAAAAUGUAGGUAUUUAGUUGGCAGUAUGUGAGAGAAAGCAGCCCAAGUUUGAGGUAAUGGGUUGGUUUCGGCAGUGGAUUUGGAGAUGGGGAUGAUGUCUCCUGUGAUUUUGAAACAUGUCAGGACGACUAAGGAAAUUCGUACGUAAUGCACAAUCUACGUUUGAGUACAUAGGCUGAGAUAAAUAUCAUGCUUUGUUUGCUAUUUGUUAAACCACUCUAUAAUGGGGUCCCUUGUCUGCUAUUAGUUACUCUGUUGUUCUCGGAGUCCAUUAUUAUUAUAUACAAAAAGCUUGCAGCUUGAAAUUUAUAACUAAA